UACAGAGGGUGCAAGCGUUAAUCGGAAUUACUGGGCGUAAAGCGUGCGUAGACGGUUACAUAAGUCGGGUGUGAAAGCCCCGGGCUCAACCUGGGAAUUGCAUUCGAGACUGCGUAGCUAGGGUGCGGAAGAGGGAAGCGGAAUACCUGGUGUAGAGGUGAAAUUCGUAGAUAUCAGGUGGAACACCAGUGGCGAAGGCGGCUUUCUGGACGAUAACUGACGCUGAGACGCGAAAGCGUGGGGAGCAAACAGG
rnacentral:rRNA from 1 species